rnacentral:rRNA from 1 species
UACGUAGGGGGCGAGCGUUGUCCGGAAUCAUUGGGCGUAAAGCGCGUGUAGGCGGUCCGGUAAGUCCGCUGUGAAAGUCGGGGGCUCAACCCUCGAAAGCCGGUGGAUACUGUCGGGCUAGAGUACGGAAGAGGCGAGUGGAAUUCCUGGUGUAGCGGUGAAAUGCGCAGAUAUCAGGAGGAACACCAAUUGCGAAGGCAGCUCGCUGGGACGUUACUGACGCUGAGACGCGAAAGCGUGGGGAGCAAACAGG